GCCGAGCCGGACGCGCUGGCGUCGGCAUCGUCGUCACAAUUAGUGGCCGUGUUGCUAUCACCGCGUCGCAAUCGGCGCGAAAACCGAUCCAAACCGUGCCAAAGAAUUGACUUACGUUUUUCCUUUGUCGCUGCUGGUGCGUUUGGAGCA
ensembl:ncRNA C41G11.9 ncRNA